rnacentral:rRNA from 1 species
GACGAACGCUGGCGGCGUGCUUAACACAUGCAAGUCGAGCGGUAAGGCCCUUUCGGGGGUACACGGAGCGGCGAACGGGUGAGUAACACGUGGGUGACCUGCCCUCAGCUCUGGGAUAAGCCUGGGAAACCGGGUCUAAUACCGGAUAUGACUCCAUGACGCAUGUUGUGGGGUGGAAAGCCUUGUGCGGCUGAGGAUGGGCCCGCGGCCUAUCAGCUUGUUGGUGGGGUGAUGGCCUACCAAGGCGACGACGGUAGCCGGCCUGAGAGGGCGACCGGCCACACUGGGACUGAGACACGGCCCAGACUCCUACGGGAGGCAGCA